rnacentral:rRNA from 1 species
UACAGAGGGUGCAAGCGUUAAUCGGAAUUACUGGGCGUAAAGCGCAUGUAGGUGGUUUGGCAAGUUGGAUGUGAAAGCCCUGGGCUUAACCUGGGAACUGCCUUCGAUACUGCGGGUCUCGAGUCCGGGAGAGGUGAGUGGAAUUCCUAGUGUAGAGGUGAAAUUCGUAGAUAUUAGGAAGAACACCAGUGGCGAAGGCGGCUCACUGGCCCGGUACUGACGCUGAGGUGCGAAAGCGUGGGGGGCAAACAGGG